rnacentral:misc_RNA from 1 species
GGAAAACAGAGGUGCUAUGCUGCUGAUGUUAUUUUGAUUUGAAUUACUUGCAUGGUUGCUAACUAUGACAUACAAUUUGUCUUGUCCCUUUAGUUUUGCUUUUUCUCAGAUGGGAAUGGAUUUUCGUUUUGGAUUCCAUUGGUUUAAAAUUUAUUAUUUUAUUUUGGAGAGUGUUUUAUAUGUUUUUGUUCAUUAAUUUGAUGAUCUUGUUCCCGUUAAUCCCCUUGGUUUGUGUUCUAUGAAGGCCAACUAUUAUUUGCAAAAACUUAAUUAGUCUCCUUUUCAUCCAUGACAGUAAUGGUGUUUCCCGUGCUUUGUCUAUAAUCCUAGAUAUUGAACAUAAGCAACCUUUUAAUUUGUUGAUGACUUGUUUGUUUGUCUAUAUCAUUAUUGCAUAUAUUGUAUUUUGACUUUCUGGAUACCGAUUUCUUCUUUUCUUUUUAACUCCUAUGCUAGAAAGUUUAGAGACAGAUAAUGAGUAUCAUAAGAGUUCGAAGUAAUAGGAGCAACAUAAAAUGAAUUUGUGGCAUAAUGUUUUUCCCAACUUGGCACAUCUUUUUUCUCUACAUGAGGUUUUCGUUGCUAGAUUUGGCAAUUGUACCCACAAGAUCCUGCCAAUGAUUCUGCCUACUGUUCUCCAAAUAUGAGAUGCUUUAUCCUUUCCAUUUUUUCAGUUUAAUGAUUUACCCAUUAUGCUUUGUUGAGAUUUGGUUUCAUUAAUAAUAUUUGAUACUUGUAAGGAAAAAAUGAAGAUAUAGCAUUUUUAGUUUGUUUAAUCCAGAUGUGAUGGCUUAUGCUUCAACAUACGAAUUCUAUGUGCUGUGUUUUGUGUCACAGUGGCAUUUACACAAUUAUUGCUCCCUACUGAAGCCAAGGUAGCCAUGGAAAUUGCUUAUGCUGAGAAAACAUCUGAGUUUGCAUCAAAAAGAUUUAAUCGGAAUUUUAGGGAGCUUGACUUAAAUGAGACACUGAUAACUCGGAACAAAAGACUUCUUUCUAGGUUGCAAGCCCUAAAUAAAGCAGGUACAUACUGGCUUUAAAUCUGUUGCAUGUUACAGUCUGCUCUUCUUGCUUUUGUUUUGAUAGGAUAUGGUCUUUGCCUGGUAUAUAUUUUUUUAUAUUAGGCAAAACCAAUAAAAUCAAACGUCUCUUUCUAUUUUUGACUUUAUUUAAGCAUGCAAAAUAAUUUUCCACUUUGUUAAAGGUUCAAUAUGGUUUCUGUCAAAAUUUCAGAUUGAAUUUGGUUGGAUUUUAAUUUGGUUUAGUAAUUGUAAUGUUACAAAAGUGAAAAUUUAUGGUUUUUGAGAGAGAUUAGAAUUUAAUGGUAUUUAGAUAUAAGUUCAAUGACUAUAGGUGAGCUGAACCCUAAUAAGUGAAGCAUUGAGUUGCCUUUUUGUCCUAGUCUUUCGGUUCUAUUGAUAUAUUUAAUUGACAUUUGCAUAGAUCUAACUUAGAUGAUUACAGACUCUUUAGGGCAAAGUUGAAUGGAUCAAAUUACAGGGAAAUGGUGCAUUUAUUAUUUAAUUUUGGAAGGGAUAUGAACAACAAAAAAGGGUAAACAUUCUUGCCAUUGGGCUAGCAAAUCAAUGGUCAAAUCCCCUAUCUUGUAACAUUGGACGUAAGAGUUUCAAACACUUCUCUACUAUUCAACUUUAGUUUAGUAAUACGAGAGUUGUUUUAAGGACUGUGAAGUCUGAAGUUCAAGUCCUAGUCGGAGCCAUGUAGAAGAGGAAUCUAUAUUCUGCAUUUUUGUUAGCUUAUUGUAAUAGAAGAAGCAUGCUUUUCAUACAAUGCAUGACAAAGAACAAUAGAAAAUAGUAUGCGUAAAGUAGCAUAUAUUUCUCUAAUGAAUUAAGGAUUUCAGGAAAAGCAACACAAGUAGGCAUCUUAGAGUAAAUCAUUAGGCCAUCAAAAGCUGAAAAUUUAAUAAGCAGACGACUAUUGCAGUGCCAAAGGCAUCUUGUUUGGCACUGCAAUGAAUCAUAUUGUCACGUAUGGUCUUGAAGCUGCAAAGUUUUAGUUUUUGUGACUCUUCUCUUACAAGCUUUGUGAUUUUGAUCAUGGCAGUGGAAAUUGGUCGACGGUUUUUCCCUAAUUGCUCUCAAGUGCUUGAUCAAUUCAUGGAAGACGACUCGUUGCUUGAUUUGUUUUAUCUUGAAAAAGACAUCCCAGAAGAGCAGAGAAUCAAAAGGGUGCGCUUCAUGGAGCCCAAAGAGGAAACUCGGAGGGCCUUUAGUAAGGAUAAGGCUGAGUUCAUGAGCACAGCUUUUGGGAGAAAAUGUCUAAUAAAAGCAUGAUGACUGAAUGUAAAAUGUUGGGGCUGUAAUUGAGAUUUCUGAUUGUAUAAUUUCAGCGAAAGCAAAUGAGCUCUAUGAGCUAAACUCCAAAUACUAUGAAGCCAGUUGCAGAUUAAAUUUAUUGUCCUUAGUUUCUAAAUAAUCUAGAUGGAAAUCAAAUUGACAUAUUUAGGGCAAUCUCUAUCUUCCCUUUACCAUCUUCA